AUGGGAGGGUCAGGAAAAACUACUCUCCUUAAACAAAUCAACAACUACUAUAGCUCUGAAAGGCCUAUAUUUGAUCAUGUCGUUUUUAUUGAAGUUGGCAAGCAGCUAAACUUGAUGGCAGUUCAGCAGAGCAUUGCAUCUGGACUAGGACUGUUGCAAACAGAUGGAGGAGAUGCAACACACAGAGCUAGAGCUAUUUUCAACUUUUUACAGGAGAAGAAAUUCCUGUUGUUGAUUGAUGAUCUUUGGGACAUGCUGGACCUAGUGAAAGUUGGUAUACCGCACGGUUCGAAGAAGUGUUGCCUUCCAAAUAGCCAGAUUGUACUGAUCACAACACGAUCUUUGGAUGUGUGUGGUAGAAUGCAUAUUUUUGAAAAUGUUAUACACUUGAAAUGCUUGGAUUCUGAUCAUUCAUGGCAGCUGUUUAAAGAAAUUGUUGGUGGAAGAAAGAUGGAAGAUGCUCAAAUCAGGGGAUGCGCCGAGAAGAUUGCGGCAAAAUGUGGAGGCCUUCCACUAGCAAUUAAGAUAACUGGGCAAGCUAUGGCUUCCAAGGUAGCUUCAGAAGAAUGGGAAUACAAUUUGAUGUUAGUAGAAGAUUCAGUUUUCCAUGAGGUUUCUGGUUCGGAUAACAAACUCUUUCCUAUACUGAAAAUUAGUUAUGAUAGCUUGCAAAGUGAUGUGAUCAGAAUGUGCUUUCUACUAUUUGCGGGGAUUGCCGCACAAGACCCAGAUGAUGAUUGGGAGGCUGAUAGUUUAGUUCAUUGUUGGAUGAGCCAUGGACUGCUAGGCGAGGAUGAUGAUAUUGAAAGAACUUACUUGAGAGGAUAUUCUAUUAAACAUGUGAAAAUGCACCAUGUUGUUCAAGAUCUUGCCUUGUGGAUUGUAGCGACAAAACAGACCAGGGCGCGUAAAGAGAAGUGGCUAGUGGACCAAAGAGAAUAUACCCGAGCAGACGUUUGGAGCACCGCUGAUAGAAUUUUCCUCUGUGGUGGUGAUAUUAAGGCAAUUCCUAGUUCUUGCAGCUGUGCUCACCUGUUAACAUUAAUACUAACAAACAAUGAGCAUAUUUCUGAGUUCCCAGCUGGUUUUUUCUCUGCCAUGAAAUCACUCAUUUAUUUGGACCUUUCUGGAAUACAGAUCCAAGAAAUACCAUCAGAAAUCGGAGCACUAACGAGCUUGCAGUUCCUUGAUCUUUCUCGGACACCAAUACAUUCACUGCCAGUGGAGCUGGGACUGUUGGAAGAUCUAAGGUACUUAUAUUUGGACUACGCUUUCCGUCUCAGAAAUAUACCAAAUGGUUUGCUAUCCAGACUGAAGAUGCUGAGGCUGUUAGGUUUAUACGGAUGUCAUGAUUUGAGAAUCGAUUGUUCAGCAGGAUACAUCGAAGAACUCAAAAGUCUAACUAGGCUGCGGGACAUUAGCUUUACAGUACAAGAUUCAGACUCCAUGUUGAUGGUCUGUAACUUGCCCAGAGCCUUUGUAAGCGGCCUCUGCAUUACAGAUCUUGAAGGCUUGCAAUCUCUUCAGAUAUCACCACUGCUCCUUACAAGUAGCAAGGCUAGACACAUGGAAGCUCUGUCACUGGAAAACAUCAAUCUUCUGGAGGAGCUAGUGAUAGGCCAGACCAAUAUAGACCCUGGUUGGUGCUUGCCAAGGCUAGAAACACUACUUCUAUAUAGUCUACUAGCACUUCAGAGGGUUGAGUUUAAAGGUAUUGAACCCAACACUUGCCUUUCAGGCCUCAGGAGAAUAUCCAUCUCACAUUGCGACAAGUUGAUGUCGAUCACAUGGAUCACAUGGCUGCCUUUCCUCGAAGAUGUAUAUUUGGGUAACUGUGACUUGAUAGUUGAGUUAGUGGCUAAAGAUGAAGAAGCUGAGUUGUCUGCCACAGGCUCCUUCCCUCGACUCAAGUUUCUGGAGUUACUUAAUCUGAAGAACCUACAUAGCAUCUGUGAUAGCAGAAUCACCUUCCCAUCGUUGAUGCGCUUGCUCGUUUAUGGUUGCCCCAUGCUAAUGAAGCUGCCACGGAACUUCGCGGGCAUCGAGAGCUCACCACUGAUAUUUAGCGAACAAAAAUGGUGGGAAAGUUUAGAAUGGGAGGAUGCUAGCUCACAGUCCUCUCUCCUUCCUUUCUUCAGAGAAGUGCCUGAAGGCUUCAGAGGAAGUCGACAAGAAGUGCCCAGGGCUUUACGCACUUUGUUCUUUCAGUCAAAAGCGAGACGUCAAUCAUGA
rnacentral:rRNA from 1 species